UACAGAGGUCUCAAGCGUUGUUCGGAAUCACUGGGCGUAAAGGGUGCGUAGGCGGCAUCACAAGUCUGGUUUUAAAGCCUGCGGCUCACCCGCAGAGAUGGACUGGAGACUGUGAAGCUAGACCUCUGGAGAGAGAACUGGAAUUCCUGGUGUAGCGGUGGAAUGCGUAGAUACCAGGAGGAACACCGAUGGCGAAGGCAGGUUCUUGGACAGAAGGUGACGCUGAGGCGCGAAAGUGUGGGGAGCAAACCGG
rnacentral:rRNA from 1 species